GAUGAACGCUGGCGGCGUGCCUAAUACAUGCAAGUCGAGCGAACGGACGAGAAGCUUGCUUCUCUGAUGUUAGCGGCGGACGGGUGAGUAACACGUGGAUAACCUACCUAUAAGACUGGGAUAACUUCGGGAAACCGGAGCUAAUACCGGAUAAUAUUUUGAACCGCAUGGUUCAAAAGUGAAAGACGGUCUUGCUGUCACUUAUAGAUGGAUCCGCGCUGCAUUAGCUAGUUGGUAAGGUAACGGCUUACCAAGGCAACGAUGCAUAGCCGACCUGAGAGGGUGAUCGGCCACACUGGAACUGAGACACGGUCCAGACUCCUACGGGAGGCAGCAGUAGGGAAUCUUCCGCAAUGGGCGAAAGACUGAUGGAGCAACGCCGCGUGAGUGAUGAAGGUCUUCGGAUCGUAAAACUCUGUUAUUAGGGAAGAACAUAUGUGUAAGUAACUGUGCACAUCUUGACGGUACCUAAUCAGAAAGCCACGGCUAACUACGUG
rnacentral:rRNA from 1 species